AACGAACGCUGGCGGCGUGCCUAACACAUGCAAGUCGAACGAGAAAGGGGCUUCGGCUCCGAGUAAAGUGGCGCACGGGUGAGUAACACGUGGGUAACCUGCCUCUCAGAUUGGUAUAACUCGUUGAAAGAUGAGCUAAUACCGAAUAAGACCACAGUUCCCGCGGUAACAGGGGUCAAAGGUAUCCUCUGCUUGCAAGCUAUCACUUAGAGAUGCACCUUCGCACCAUUAGCGAGUUGUUAGGGUAACUGCCUACCAAGGCAAAGAUGGUUAGCUGGUCUGAGAGGACGAGCAGCCACACUGGAAGGGAGACACGGCCCAGACUCCUACGGGAGGCGGCCGUAGGGAAGCUUGAGCCAGCGGCGAAAGCUUGACGAAGAAGCGCGGAGUCAGUGAGGAACGACUCCGGGUCGUAGAGCUCUGUCUGGAGGAAGGAAUGCUCUUGAGGUUAACAGCCUCGGGAGGUGACGGUAACUUCAAAGGAAGCACCGGCUAACUACGUG
rnacentral:rRNA from 1 species